UACGAAGGGGGCUAGCGUUGCUCGGAAUCACUGGGCGUAAAGGGUGCGUAGGCGGGUCUUUAAGUCAGGGGUGAAAUCCUGGAGCUCAACUCCAGAACUGCCUUUGAUACUGAAGAUCUUGAGUUCGGGAGAGGUGAGUGGAACUGCGAGUGUAGAGGUGAAAUUCGUAGAUAUUCGCAAGAACACCAGUGGCGAAGGCGGCUCACUGGCCCGAUACUGACGCUGAGGCACGAAAGCGUGGGGAUCAACAGG
rnacentral:rRNA from 1 species